GCCUUUUAAAAUAUUGUUUCUGUCACUUCUACUUAAAGAGUUAUUUUAUCUGAUUCAUAAAUUUGGACUUGACAUAGAAGUCUAAGAAGUGAGGUAAAGAAGCCUUUUAAUUCUCUGCAUCUUCUUCGUUUCUUCUUUUCUUCUCGGUUGGAUGUUCUAAUUUCAGGUCUGCUCCUCUCAAUUUUUGCCUGAAUUUUCUUAUCCUUUUUUCUUUUCGUUUUUUCCUUUCGGUGUUUUUGUUGGGUUCUCUUCAUACUUCUCAUAGUUAUGCUAUCAUUUGCUUCUCUCUCUUUGCUUAAUUUCUAUUUUCUCGCUUUUAAUUUUUCUUUGUUGGUAUAUUCUUUUUUGCUUUAUUUAUUGGACAAUAAAAUCUUGGGUGUUGUGAAUUAAUACUGAAUAUUUUUACUUUUGGUGUUUGACAGGAUACUUUUGUUUAGGAUUCAUUGGCAAAGGCGCAUGAGUCAUCAUUAUUUCUAGGUUGUUGUACACCCAAAGGUCUCAUGAGACUGUAUUGAAGUUUGUUACGGGGAUUUGAUGUGGUUCUUUAGCUUGAGCAGUUGAAUUUUCUCUCUGGAAAGCUUCUGAAAUUUGUCAAUGCAGGCAACAAGACUUUGUAGGUAUUGCUUUAUGCUGUAAAGGCUUUGAAUUGAAAUUUCAUGCUCGCUUAUGAGACCCUCACUAUAAGGAAUCAGAAUAAGGUAGUUAUCUUAAAUGGAGAUUAAGACCAACUUAAUUAGAAUUGGUGAUUUUGUGAAAUUUAUGCUGCUUGAAAAACUUUAUGAGCAUUGUAAGCUCUCCUUAUAGUCAAAAGAAUCAACACAAAGUGGAUGGGGAUUGUAAAUUAGUAUUUUCAUGUUGUGCUGCAUGAAUCAGCCUGGGAUAAAUUGGGG
rnacentral:lncRNA from 1 species